UAAAUAUUUUGAAGACUGACGUGCCUUAUCCUACAACGGAACCCCAAUACUGUUCUCUUAAUGAAGUGUCCUAUGAAUACACGGAAGAUUCUGAGACCAGGCUUGACGUGGGGCUUUCUGGUUGUGAAACAAAGGAACCUCAGUAUUGUUCUCUUAAUGAAGUGUCCUAUGAAUACACGGAAGAUUCUGAGACCAGGCUUGACAUGGGGCUUUCUGGUUGUGAAACAAAGGAACCUCAGUAUUGUUCUCUUAAUGAAGUGUCCUAUGAAUACAUGGAAGAUUCUGAGACCAGGCUUGACGUGGGGCUUUCUGGCGCUGAAACAAAGGAACGUCAGUAUUGUUCUCUUAAUGAAGUGUC
rnacentral:lncRNA from 1 species